CCCAAAUCCACCAAAGUGAGGGCUUCGUCCCUGAUGAGGGGUCUGGGAGAGCAGUGGGGGGUCUGCUGAUGGCCCAGGGGCAGUCUUCUCAUUUCUUCUUACUGCAAAGGAAUCUGAUAAUGAUGUGAAGUAAAGAUGCAACUUACUUAUGAUGCUACAUUCAAGAGACAGAAACUUCCUAAACUUUAGAGCCCCCAUUUCUGGGCCUGGCAGUGAUGAUGAUGAUGAUGAUGAGGAUGAUGGUCUUCCAGUAGCAGUGGUGUUUGUGCAGGAUUGAUGGAAAGAAUGGUACUGUUGACUAUUCUGGUCAUCAAAAAGUCAUGGAAAACAAACAGAAUUGUUACAGUGGCGUGCACAGAGCUAUUAUUAUUAUUAAUAUUAUAGCAUACAGUG